GUUUCUCAGAGUGUUGAAGAUAAGGGGAAUGAGCCCCAGAAGUGGUUCUCAAGCAGGGGUGUAUGGCAAAGUCACCCACGGAACUUAAAAAGGAUUCCCAGGACUCACAUGCAACCUAGCAGAUCAGGUUACCAUUUCCUAGGGUGGGGCUCAGGCAUAUGGUUUAAAAUUCUCCCUAGUUGAUUUUGAUGCCUCCCCACCCUCACCCUAUGAUGACAAUGUUUAGACUGGCUGAUCUGUAGCUGCUUUCACUCCAAGGAUGAAUCCUGGAAAUUGCAGUUAGCUGAGUUUGCAUAACAAAGAAAAUGCAGUAGACAGCAGGCAGUUUGAGAACAAUCAUGAUUGGGGAAACCCUCCCUGGUAAGGAUCUUGUUUAUCAUGAUCAAUAGCGAAGGGUUUGGCCAAGGAAGGCACUCAAUAAGGUUCGUACUGGUUGAAAGAAUGAGUGAAUGAAUGAAUGAAAGAGCAGGCUUCACAGAGACAAAAAUAAAAUGUUCUUUGUUCUUCCUUUUGCACAAAAACUGGCCCCGAUGCCCUUACUUAAAGGCAAAUAAAUCUCUAGAGAUCUAAAUGGAUUUUUUUAAUUGCCAUUUUGCAUUUUUAAGAUCUUCAGAUCGGGUAUAAUACAUCAGAAAGGAGUCCCAAUAAAUAAAGGAAUGCCAUCCUUUGUCUGCUCUUUUCAAAUUGCAUUUGCAAUGAAUGUUAUCAGCAUAGCAAACUGUCUACGCAAAAAAGUGUUAUUUUUGAAGGCUAAAUUUGAUCCAAGAUGAAAGUAACUUUUAAAAAUUGCAUCCUAGUUAAAGAUAUCAAUAUCACACAAUUUUAAAAAAGAACUAUUUGUAUUCUACUCAAAGAGACAACAGUAUAUAACAUUGGUUUCUAAAACAAUAUUUUCUGAACCCUUGGCUGUGUACUGACAUCAUAUGCUGGGCUGAACUUUGCAUAUGUGACUCAAGAGAGAGAAAAGAGAUGUAUUCCCAUCCUCAGUCUCUGCUCUACUGUAGAAGAGUACUGCAAGCUUCUAGAGACCCAGGUUUGUCUUAAUUCUUGGUGAUUUCAAGUCUAAACUUAAGAUGGUUUAAAGAGUCUAACACAACAUUAGAGUUUAGCUACGUAGAUUUGUACUUUUAAAUAGGACAUAAUGCUCUGUAGUUUUUUUUUUUAAUGUUACGUUGAUAAAUCGUUCAUUAUUACAAUUUUUAAAGUCAGAGGUAUUGUAACGGGAUACAUUAACUACCCAACUUAUAAAGACUUAAGUGUUUUCUCCCGUUCGCUCUUUUGGCUUUUCCUUUCUGGUUAAGAAACUUUCAUUCUUUUGAACCCUGCAAUUUCUUGGCUUUACAGAGCCCCAAACCCCAAAGACACCAAGAUAAGACGGGCAGGCCGGUAUGGGGAGGUCCCACAAUGACAUCAGCAUUUGGAACAAUUCAAACCUUCACCAUCUCUUCUCAACCUCCUAUGUCCUCGCCCCCCGUAAAAGAUGCGCAGGACCUCGAUGGACGAGCCCACCCCUGACCCUCUCAAGGAAAGACAAUGCCAGGCUGGUUUUCGAGUUUAUUGUCGGCACGCUCCCCCGAUGGCAGGCAGCAUCCGAGGCGAGCGCGCCUGAGCCUGGGCGCUCGGAGGACGAGGCCAGGUGCAUCGGGCGCAUCGUCGUCUCCCAGGCGCGUCCCGCUCGCCGCGAGGGAAGGCCGGGGUUCUUCCAACCGAAGAAAACCAAAACCGUCAACGCUCAGCUCCGAGGCCCGCAGGAGGCUUUAAAAAUGGCCUCCUGACGACACUUCCUGCUCGGCGCGGACGGCAGAGAGACACGGCGGUGGGGAAGACACCUAGACUUCGGGAUUUCCAGGACUGGCCCUAUCUCCUGCUGGGUGUGAGGACUCUGGCCAAGUUUGCCACCUCUCCGGGGUUUCAUUUUUCUCUUAGGGCUUUGUGAGUACAAAAUGAGACAAUGAGUCUUUCCUUUCUGUGAAAACUAUAAAAUGCCAUAUGAAUUUGAGCAGAGGGAGGUAGCACAUAAAAGAUUCUAGUCCACAAGACAGUGUUCAAGCAAGCACUGAGCGCAGGCACAAGCACAGCUUGCCCUGAUGGGCUUUUGUUAUGAAGAAAUGGUCUUGAAUCUCAGCCUAAACAAACAAUGGGGAAGCGUCUUGGCAAAAGAUAAGGAGCAAGAAUGUGUUUUUGCACUAGACCUUCUUGUUCUUUAGAUGAUAUCAACUUCUAGCAGAAUGCCAACUAAAGUUGCAAAGAAAACAAACAGUUCUGCACAUUUCCUGCCAUCUAAGGCUGACCCCCCAUCUCCCAAUUCUUUUUUGCCUGUUUGUGAUUGGAGGGCCUACUGUCCUCUCAGACUGACCAAAGGGUUAUGAUUUGCGGUCAUCGUCAUCGUGAGCAGCACCCAACUACUACUCGAGAUACCCAGGCCUAGCUUACAGGAAGCAGGGGACGGAGUCCUGUAUUCAGGCACCUUGGAUGUGUGGGUUCCCCCAGCAGCUGAGCAUCACCCCAGCCUGCUCCUUCCAGGUGACACUAAGGAAGUGCAACCCCUCCCAGAAGAGCAUGAGCCUGGUGAAGUCCUCAGUGGAACCAGAACUGUUCUUCUCGUCAAGCAGUUAUCUAUGUUAUCUUUCUUGGCACGAUUGUCUUAUGGAUUAGGGAGAUUAGGGGUAAUAAAUGUCUCGUUUGAGUGACAAGCUGGAAA
rnacentral:lncRNA from 1 species